UGUUUGUGUGGUUUGAGGUAAAGUGAAGAGGAGCGACCUUCGUUGUCCCUGAUAUAACACCGAGUGGUUCGGUCGGUAAGGUGAGCCCAUGCCACGUAGAUCUGAGGCUUUUUCAUGAGACAAUUAGAAGCACUGUCU